ACGGCGGACGGGUGAGUAACACGUGAGUAACCUGCCUUAGACAUUGGGAUAGCCUCGGGAAACCGGGAUUAAUACCAAAUGAAAUCACAUAUGCACAUGCAUAAAUGAUCAAAGCUCCGGCGGUCUAAGAUGGACUCGCGUCCCAUUAGCUAGUUGGUGAGGUAACGGCCCACCAAGGCGACGAUGGGUAGCCGGCCUGAGAGGGUGAACGGCCACAUUGGAACUGAGAAACGGUCCAAACUCCUACGGGAGGCAGCAGUC
rnacentral:rRNA from 1 species